UCUGCAAUUCCUAAACCUAAAUUCCAUUCUGUUCAAAUCAAGCCAGCCGCCAUCACUCAAGUUUUUGAGAUCAAAUCAUAAUCAUUCAUCAACUCUUGCUUUCAUUAGCUUCAUUAUAAUUCGAUUGUUCUUCGUCGAUCCACACCAACUCAGCGAGCUCUAUCAUCGCGACGUUUCGAAAUUGAUUAAGACCCGUCGACUGUUCGUACUUCAGAGGCGAACCAGAGUUAGAUUGCUUGUCAAGUUUCACGUGGAAUAGCAAGCAGUUUAUGAUUUGAGCAUUGGUCGAUCUCCGUUUCUUCAUUCUCGGAGGUUCCUAAUUUAAUUUUUAGAAUAAAAGAGUCGUACUGUUUUAAACUCUUAGACCGCAGUAGUAGUAUUAGAUUACUUAUGAUUAGUCUUAUACUUAUAUUUUUAGACUGUUGAUUG